CUGGUUGUGAUCUUUUUCCUUAAAUGAGGGGAAUUAAAAUUUUCUGUUAAACAAGAGGCUUAUAGCACAUUUUCGCAUUUUGUAUUUUACUGAUUUAAAGUUCUUGCAGCCAGUGCAAAUAAAAUCCAUUCGAUUUCAACGUUAUAUCGUUCGCUUUGUGCACCUGCAGGAAUUCCUUUCUAAGCUAAAGCAACACGUAGCCUACCGCAGAACCGUUUGGAUAAUUUGCUAUACUUAGCCUACUGUUUAAAAUGUGAAUCCAGGAAGAUUUUCGUUUCAAAAGGCGGAAUGAAGAAAAAUGUGAUCAUCACGUAAUUCAUCAGCUAGGCCCCUGCAGAUAUUGCCCCAGAGGACUGCUUGACGGACACCGCUGACACAGGAAGAUCAAUUGAGUACCAAUUCAUUUUGGUGUGACAAGUGUGGCAUGUUCAAGUCCUGAAGGCCAUCACAGAAGCCAUCUACUCAGGAGUUGACGGGAACAAGCCGUUGUGCCCCUCGAAACAAACCACCACCUUCAUCAGAGCUGGGGAGUAGCUAAGACCCCCUGCGAAAACAUCUGGAGCAACCUAAGUCUCUGCAAGGGAUUGGCACAGCAUCUUGCAGUCACAGCAACUCAGUGUAUCAGUAUGGCCCUUCAUACAGGGGUGUUAAUCUAAUCACUGAAAUAGGCCUACUCUAGACUCUAGAAAAAGCAAAAACCUUUUACAUCUGUAACCCACAGGCCCACAUCUGGCAUAUGGCCCGACUCUCAGUUUGACCAGAUUAAUUCUAAAAUGCACAUGGAUUUUUCCAAGGUGCUGCAAUAGACUGCUGAAAAUUAUAAAUGCAGGCCAGUAUUCCUCCUGAAAAUCAUGAAAAGAGCGCACUGUGUAGUAACCCUGGAGCUCAGCCGCUUCAGAGAAACCUUGUUCCCUGGAGAACAAUCUUUGUUUCAGAUCAAAGCAAAGCAGAAAUCCAUACGACAAAACAGAUUUGUCAAUGAUUCUGACAGCAGAGAUGCACCUGGUCCUCUUCAUUCACUUCCACUGUUAUCUGCAGUCAAAUAAGUGUUUGGCCCUGAACACAGUCAAAAAUGGUUUUAUUCUGUAGAUUUUUUGGAGUUCUGGCAAAAGUGUACAUUGACACUUUCCACAUUGAUAGAAGGGUACUCCAAACAGCCAAUGUCAAACUCUUCUUCAGCUUAGCCUCGUUGUUCCGACUGAUAUAAAAGCCUUCCAUAUUCGCCUUCUCAUACUGAACAACUUUCCUAUUUUGACCAAUAUUGAAUUUUGAAUUUUACGACAUUUAGAAUUUUUUAAAAAGUCUUAACCCUCUAGAACCCAUAGCGGCCGCAAACGCCCACCAUGUGGAAUCCCAUAACGGCCAUGGACGUCUGUAACCGGCUGUGAUAUUUCUCAGAAGAAUCAAAGCGAGUCUGCGUUUUAUAUCAUUGAAAUACGUAUACCCACGUAAACAUGAGAUUCCACAGUACAACAAACUGGUGGAAACAACACUUGUUACCAUAGUAAAUAUCACUGACAUGUGAAUUCAGGACAAACUACGAUUAAAUUUCUCCCAUCAAUUACUUGGACCGAACAUUAUAAGCCCAUAGAUUGCAAUCUAAAUUAGCAUCUAUAAAUAGCAAACUGAACGCAGCUUUUCUCUAUACCGUAUCCAUGCUCAAAAAAAUUAAUUGUUGGAUAGUGGUUGCAUAUUAUUAAGUAGGUUGUGACAAACUGAGUAAGUUGAAGACAUAUACUUAAUUAUAUACAUAUACUUAACUGCCUAUACUUAGUUGUUUCCAAAUACUGUUCAUAAUUUUAUGAAAAGUAAAUCUGACUAUUCCAAAGCAAUGCUAUCCAAUGUUUCCUAAAUUAUUAAAUGUAACUUGGCCCUGUGUUUUUUCAUUUUAUAAUUUGAAGUGAAUGUGGUCAUUAUAAAUAAAUUAAAUACUUGCACAUGA